rnacentral:rRNA from 1 species
CACGGGGGGAACGCGAAGAACCUUACCUGGGUUUGACAUCACCGCUAAAGCCGCAGAGAUGUGGCGUCCUUCGGGGGUGGUGACAGGUGGUGCAUGGCUGUCGUCAGCUCGUGUCGUGAGAUGUUGGGUUAAGUCCCGCAACGAGCGCAACCCUCGUUCGAUGUUGCCAGCGGGUGAUGCCGGGGACUCAUCGAAGACUGCCGGGGUCAACUCGGAGGAAGGUGGGGAUGACGUCAAGUCAUCAUGCCCCUUACGUCUAGGGCUACACACGUGCUACAAUGGCCGGUACAGCGGGUUGCGAGCUAGCGAUAGCAAGCCAAUCCCUUAAAGCCGGCCUCAGUGCGGAUUGGAGGCUGCAACUCGCCUCCAUGAAGCUGGAAUCGCUAGUAAUCGUGGAUCAGCUACGCCACGGUGAAUACGUUCCCGGGUCUUGUACACACGC